rnacentral:rRNA from 1 species
GACGAACGCUGGCGGCGUGCUUAACACAUGCAAGUCGAGCGGUAAGGCCCUUUCGGGGGUACACGAGCGGCGAACGGGUGAGUAACACGUGGGUGACCUGCCCUCAGCUCUGGGAUAAGCCUGGGAAACCGGGUCUAAUACUGGAUAUGACUCCAUGACGCAUGUUGUGGGGUGGAAAGCCUUGUGCGGCUGAGGAUGGGCCCGCGGCCUAUCAGCUUGUUGGUGGGGUGANGGCCUACCAAGGCGACGACGGGUAGCCGGCCUGAGAGGGCGACCGGCCACACUGGGGACUGAGACACGGCCCAGACUCCUACGGGAGGCAGCAGUGGGGAAUCUUGCGCAAUGGGCGAAAGCCUGACGCAGCGACGCCGCGUGAGGGAU